UGCAUACGCGAAAUGGAAACAAAUUCUUCACAAAUUGCUUCCUCUCGAGUUUGAUUUUGAAGAGCAUUGUCAUGGCAUCACCCACUAAACCUGGCUGGCAUAUCCCGUCUCCUCCCUCUCCCGGAACGACAAGGGAAGAUUUAGCUCCCAGAGCCCGGCUCGCAGCGAGGGGUCCUCGGGGCUCUAGGACAAUUCAGCUCCCACCUGCUGAACCUGCCCAGGUCAGCUUUGCUCCUCCCAACCGAUAGGAACAGAGCACAGCUUUCCCGAGCUCCUGUCUCCUCACAGUUAGAGCACAGCACUCCUGAGUCUGCCAACAGACCCGCAGCUUCGCGGGCAUCACUGAGGGUCUCAGCCUUCACAGUCCGGCACAGCUGCCUUCUCAAGCCAUGGUGCACCUGGGGAGGACAAGGGAGCCAGGGCUGCCGUGGGAAAGACACUCUUUCUCCCAGACAGAUGCAGUCCUGCACCAGGAUGCACAGAAGCCCCACUCACCCCCCUGCCAGGUGUCCUUGUGCAGUGAGCAACCUGAGCAACUGAACACAAAGGCAGUAGUAAUCAUGAGAACCUGCUAAGGGAUUAUAGGCUCCAAGGCCAUUACCUACCGCUGCCUUCUCUGUGCUGUGUACACAGCAUGAAGCAGGUGUCGAGAGAGGGAGACCUACAGUCCUGCGCUCCAAGAGAAGAAACAGGAGCAAGAAAGAAGGAAAAUUCCCACUGCAGUGCAUCUAAGUCAGGACAAAAGAACAUCUAGAAACAGCUGAGUGACCACAGGCUGGCACCUUUGUUCUAAUAAUUCUUCAGUCCUUACAAAUUUAAAAUGGAUGCACGAUGCGGAACUUUGGUUUUACGUGUGUUAUCCGUGCCGUGUCAACACGAGUAGCUGGAAAUGUUCUCUGAUGAAGAGGGUCCUGCCUCCUGGCGUGUGAGUGACACGGCCCACAGUUAGAAGCCAACACUGUACUGGUUUUAAAUAGAAGAUUUUGAAUCGGGGAACACAUUCUAACGUCCCAACUCAGGGGGUGGAGGAAUUUGGGGCUGCAAACAUCUCACCAGGUGGAUUUGCCUUUGCGUCCCUGCUCUGAGGAAGCCGUGAGGGAGGGUCAUGAGGACGCUGACCCCAAGGCUCUGCUGCUGACCAGAAGCCACAAGAGACAGCGUCCUGCAUGUGUGUGUUUUGUUGCCCAGGCCAGUGCAGGCCAAUACCGGGUGGCUGUGGGCAUUUUUACGCGUAUUUAAACUCACGAUCUUGGCUCUGGUUCUGCUCAAAGGUUCCUGACAGCCGCACACUCAUUUCUAUCCUUCACAAAAGGGCUGCCACCCAGACGUGUCAGCUCAGAGGCUGGAAGAGGCUUCUGUCCCCCUAACCCAGCGGUUCCCUGCUGACGGGGCCCCUCCCCGAGAAAGGCUCAGGAGGAAGCCCAUAUUCUGCACCAGCGGGUGACUUUAAAUUCUGGGUCUCCGACCAAAGCUUCGCUCGGACACUUGCUUGUUGGUUUCCGUUGCUUGAGUUCCUUCCCUCACUCGCUCGUCCGUCUACCCUUCGUUCGAUUCCUCUGGCCAGCUCCGUACGCCAUGCUGGGAUACGGAGCCGGAUAAGACAAGAAUUCCUGUUCUAGUGAGGGAAGGAGACAGACCCCAUACAGUCCCCUUGGAGACUAUACAAGGUUGGCCCUCUCAUUAACCCCAUUUUACAGAUGAGGAAACUGAGGCAUAGAAAAGUAAAAUGAUCUGCCUAAAGUCACAGUAGCCAGAAUUUGAACCCAAACGGUUGGAUGUGGAGCCUGAGGUCUUCAUCCACAGGUGAUACUUCCUAGUGAGGGGUGACUUUGAUCCAAUUCUCGGAGAGAGGAGAGAUGUUUUCAGGUGCAGAAAGGUGGGCUCCGCAGGCAGAAACUGCAGGGGUGACACCAAUCGUUGGCAGGACCCGUGCACACCUGGAUUAAUAAAUACGUCUUGCAGACAGGACCCGUGCACACCUGGAUUAAUAAAUACGUCUUGCAGACAGGACCCGUGCACACCUGGAUUAAUAAAUACGUCUUGCAGACAGGACCCGUGCACACCUGGAUUAAUAAGUAUGUCUUGCAAAUGGCAGCCCUAGACCCGACUUAACUUUGGGGCUUGAGCCUGAUGUUU